rnacentral:rRNA from 1 species
UACGGAGGUGGCAAGCGUUGUUCGGAAUUACUGGGCGUAAAGGGCGCGUAGGCGGCUUGGCAAGUCAGAUGUGAAAGCCCCGGGCUUAACUUGGGAAUUGCAUCUGAAACUGCCUUGCUUGAGUCCUGGAGGGGGUAGUGGAAUUCCCAGUGUAGCGGUGAAAUGCGUAGAUAUUGGGAGGAACACCGGCGGCGAAGGCGGCUACCUGGACAGUGACUGACGCUGAGGCGCGAAAGCUAGGGGAGCAAACGGGAUUAGAUACCCCGGUAGUCCUAGCCGUAAACGAUGGGCACUUGGUGUUGGGGGUAUUGAGUCCCUCAGUGUCGUAGUUAACACGGUAAGUGCCCCGCCUGGGGAGUACGGUCGCAAGACUGAAACUCAAAGGAAUUGACGGGGGCCCGCACAAGCGGUGGAGCAUGUGGUUCAAUUCGACGCAACGCGAAGAACCUUACCGGGGCUCGAACGGUAGUUGCUACCCCCGGAAACGGGGGGUUCUCGUAAGGGACGGCUACCGAGGUGCUGCAUGGCUGUCGUCAGCUCGUGUCGUGAGAUGUUGGGUUAAGUCCCGCAACGAGCGCAACCCUUGUCCUUAGUUGCCACCAGGUAAUGCUGAGCACCCUAAGGGAACUGUCGGCGAAAAGCCGGAGGAAGGUGGGGAUGACGUCAAGUCCUCAUGGCCCUUACGUCCCGGGCUACACACGUGCUACAAUGGCCGGUACAAAGGGUCGCCAACCCGCGAGGGGGAGCUAAUCCCAAAAAGCCGGUCCCAGUCCGGAUUGCAGUCUGCAACUCGACUGCAUGAAGUCGGAAUCGCUAGUAAUCGCAGAUCAGAACGCUGCGGUGAAUACGUUCCCGGGCCU